CCUUUCCCUUGUUCACAUUUCUCUCUUCCUCAUUUCUUCUUCACUCACUCGCACACACACGGCCGUGAGAGAGAGAGAGCUGCCAUGGGAGAGAUUGAUGCUGAGAGUGAGGCGUUGCAAAUUUUUGAGAGGGAGAUUUAGAGCACGACGCAAAGAAGAAGAUGAGAAAUGGAUUUUCGGACAUGGGUCUUUGUAAGGAUCGUGUCCGGAUUGGGGACCUUAAAUGGUUCUCCAAUCUAGAAUUCAAGUAACUAGAACACGGGGGAAUGUCGGAGUCAUGAGUCCAAUGCAGCUAAGAUGAUGUUCCUUUGGCUGUAGGUACUCCGGUCGUAGUUGAUGGUGUUGUAGAUGUGUACUUGAGAUAUUAUGACCGAAGCUCGCCGCGACGGUAGUGAUUGCGGGGCAAUGGACGUCCUCUGUUUUAUUGGUUUGUUUAUGGCUUGUGAUGUCUGUGUCACUUGUUAUUGUAUAAGUCAUUAUGUUAUGUAUUUAAUUUGAGGAAAGAUUUAAACAGAUAGAUGUAAUAUUGGCUCUUGUUUAUGAUUAAUUUAUGAUAGAGUUUUAAGA